UACGAAGGGGGCUAGCGUUGCUCGGAAUCACUGGGCGUAAAGCGCACGUAGGCGGCUUUCUAAGUCAGGGGUGAAAUCCUGGAGCUCAACUCCAGAACUGCCUUUGAUACUGGAGAGCUUGAGUCCGGGAGAGGUGAGUGGAACUCCGAGUGUAGAGGUGAAAUUCGUAGAUAUUCGGAAGAACACCAGUGGCGAAGGCGACUCACUGGCCCGGUACUGACGCUGAUGUGCGAAAGCGUGGGGAGCAAACAGGG
rnacentral:rRNA from 1 species